GCAAGUCGAGCGCUUCACUUCGGUGAGGAGCGGCGGACGGGUUAGUAACGCGUGGGAACAUACCCGACACUACGGAAUAGCCUCUGGAAACGGAGAGUAAUACCGUAUACGCCCUACGGGGGAAAGAUUUAUCGGUGACGGAUUGGCCCGCGUUAGAUUAGGUAGUUGGUGGGGUAACGGCCCACCAAGCCGACGAUCUAUAGCUGGUUUGAGAGGAUGAUC
rnacentral:rRNA from 1 species